rnacentral:lncRNA from 1 species
GACCACCAAAAUGUCACAUUACACAUACAUGUUCUUCACUAAAAUGAAAAUCAAACGUAUGAUGAUAAGAAUAACCAUUGAUUGUUCGAUCUUUAGUGGUGAUGGUUCUUCUUCAACAUCGCGCAAAGACUGUCACAUUCGUCCUUUGAUGGCCAAAUAGUGAAGAAUGUUUGAACACCAUUAAGAGCAAUAACCAACAAAGCUCCAACAAGUGCAAGUGAUGACCAUGGGCUCUUAAAAUACUCCUGCUUAAGUUGAGAAAAGUAUAUAUUCCUUGGGUUUUCAUAGUGCAUUUGGAUACUGUUUUUAGCUUCCAAAUAUGCCAAAUGGUUUGGCACUAAAUCAGUUCCUAUUUGAUUGAACAAUGUUGCGACCUCUUCAUCGCUCCCUAGACAAUUUUCAAGCACCCCGGCUUUGCGAAGACUUGUAACGUCUUCUGGGUGAUCGAUGAGAGUGUCGAGAAGACAUACGUAUGAGGUAACCCAUGCAUCAUAUGCAGCAUCAUCACGUGACGAGCAUGUUUCAUAGGCUAUCAAGUUUAACAACAUCGGCUUUGUGGAAUCAUUGACGGUUAUUGGAGGGAGAUUAACAUCCGCUGAAAACCACCACUUGGAUUUUCGGAACUCAAUGUGAGCGAGAGACAUUGUGCUACUCGGCUUGAAAUGAAUCCCUAAAUUCUUGAGCUCGGUAACAUUCCGAAAAGUGCACCUGCACUUAGGGGUGUUCAGUAUUGGAUUUGAAACCAAUAAAACUGAAGUACAAGUGCAUUUUUUGGUUUUACAAAAUAAAUCAAAUAACCCAUAUAACGAAUAGAGGUUAUUUAAAAUAUGUCAUUUAGCCCAAUCUUAUUUAGCACAACCCAAAACAAGUAAUGCUAAAAAUGUUAUAAAAAAUAAAAAUAAUGAAUAAAGUAAAAGAAGUUAAUAGGUUUAUUCACUUGAAACCGAAAACCAGACCGAAUGUAGUCAGUUCGGUUUGACCUUACUGAAUUUGGUUCGGUUUUCGGUUACCACUGAAUAUAAUCCCAACCCGAAUGACCCGAAAACCGAACAAACAAACACCAUACCUGCACUUGUUACUUUGAGACCAAUCAUUAACUUCUGGUAACCUUUUUUCUGUAAGACUACGAUGUAGUAGAUCCAGAAGAUGAUCUGGCUGUUCAACAUCAAUCAUCUCUCUUAACUGUUCUUGAUAAACCGGAUGAUUUCUUGUACAAAACAUUGAUCUAAACCACCAUGUCUUUGGCCUCUGGGUUGCCAAAAUAUUAUCAUAUAUAAAGGGUUUAAUCUUAUUACAAUCGAUAUGUAACAGAUUCAUCACUUUUGUUAGAACAACAAAUGGUAUUUGAUUUUCAAGAAGAAACAUAUCUUGAUAGACAAAUGCAUCAUAGUUUUCUUCAACUCUUGACGAUUUUCGGGUUGGCCAAAGAUGAAGAGAAGGUAAUAUAAUAUAAAACAUGCAUCUAAUAACAUCAUCUGAAUGAAUACCUUAUUUUCAAACUCAUUUGUAGAGUUUGUUUCAUAAUAGUUUCUUAAAUCUUGUACCAUAGUAUGUUCACUAAGGUUUCUGUACAAAACCCUUAGGGUUUCUUCAUUGUUUGAAACGAGUUUCAUCGUAAAAACCGGCUUUAGGUUCU